rnacentral:rRNA from 1 species
UUGGAAGAGUUUGAUCCUGGCUCAGGACGAACGCUGGCGGCGUGCCUAAUACAUGCAAGUGGAACGCAUUGGUAACACCGGACUUGCUCCAGUGUUACUAAUGAGUCGCGAACGGGUGAGUAACGCGUAGGUAACCUGCCUGAUAGCGGGGGAUAACUAUUGGAAACGAUAGCUAAUACCGCAUAAGAGGAGUUAACUCAUGUUAACUGUUUAAAAGAAGCAACGGCUUCACUAUCAGAUGGACCUGCGUUGUAUUAGCUAGUAGGUAGGGUAACGGCCUACCUAGGCAACGAUACAUAGCCGACCUGAGAGGGUGAACGGCCACACUGGGACUGAGACACGGCCCAGACUCCUACGGGAGGCAGCAGUAGGGAAUCUUCGGCAAUGGACGCAAGUCUGACCGAGCAACGCCGCGUGAGUGAAGACGGUUUUCGGAUCGUAAAGCUCUGUUGUAGGGGAAGAACGUGUGUAAGAGUGAAAGCUUACACAGUGACGGUACCCUACCAGAAAGGGACGGCUAACUACGUGCCAGCAGCCGCGGUUAAUAA